AUCAUCCGUGGAGUGAACAACGGUGUCCUGUGCCACGCGGUCCCGUGUGGUAGGGCCCGGGUGGCGGUGGCGAGGCGAGGCGAGGCCGAAGACGUUUUUCUCAUCGGAUUUCGGAUUGUGGAAUUUUCCAAGGUACCGCAUCUUUUAGAAGGUGGUUAUCCGAAAUUCCCUGCAAAGAAAUUCGUGAAACGCCGUGUGAGGUCAUCGUCCGUUUCAGCCGUUGUGCGUGCGUGCGUGUUCCUAUGGCACACGUGUGUGAGUGCAACGCGCUGCGACGUGAAAAGAGCCGAGCAAAGAUGGCUGCUACACCACUUAGCACGCCGCCGGUACAGCGGCGUGGAAUUGUGGCAUCCGUUUCGGUCUAGCAGGCGUCUGCUGACCACGUGCCCAAUUUUCUUCUUCAAAAUCUUCUCAUCGCGUCAUGGCGUCAUCAUCGCACAUGGAAUUCAUGCGAAACCGCUUCUAUUUAUUUUAACGUUCAGCAUCUCGAACGUACUUAUUACCCUAUUCGGGUAACGUCGAUGGAUGUUCUUACCCCGCGAGAUGAUGUACCGACUUCUACCUAAGCAUCAUACGGCUGAUCUCCAAGGCGGGAGUGACAAGCGGUUGGCUUCAUUUAGGAACGGCGCAUCAUCCGGGACCCGGCAGCAUUGACUACCUCGUCGUACUGUCUUCGAUUUGUUUUAAAGGCAUCGAUGGACGAAAAUCUCAACCAUUCUAAUUUCGGAUGUUUAAUUAGUAUUAACACUGCACCGAAGUCGUAGACUCGAUAUUUCUGAUAGCUCAUCAGGAGCUUAACCAAACGAAUUUCGGAUAUUACUAACGCGAAAACAACUCAUGUUGUGUAGUACUUCAUGGUCUUGAAGUAUGAAAUAAAUGAACAGGAG